GUCCGGGGUAGCUCAGACGUAGAGCGGUCGGCUCCCACCCGACCGGACGCAGGUUCGAGCCCUGCCCCCGGACA
rnacentral:tRNA from 1 species